rnacentral:lncRNA from 1 species
GGGAGAUGAUAACCGAUUUCCUUCAGGAGAACCAUCUGACACCAUCACUUGAACCUUCUGUGCCACGUGUAUGCUCUUCCAUUGUAUUCUAUUGUAACUUCCGUCUCACUUAGUGGGGUUUGUUUCCUCAUAUAACAAACUAUAUGUUGGGAUACACCGACCGACCGACGGACCGACGGACCGACGAACCGACCGACCGAUCGGCCUACCGACCGACGGACCGGUCGAGAGUAUGUCGGUCGGGCAGACCCUUUCCGCCCUCCCUACCGACUACACCAGGGGGUCCGGUGUCCAACCCCCACGACGUGCCC